AUUGAACGCUGGCGGAAUGCUUUACACAUGCAGUCGAACGGCAGCACGGGAGCUUGCUCCUGGUGGCGAGUGGCGAACGGGUGAGUAAUACAUCGGAACGUGCCCAGCAGUGGGGGAUAGCCCGGCGAAAGCCGGAUUAAUACCGCAUCCGACCUACGGGUGAAAGCGGGGGACCGUAAGGCCUCGCGCUAUUGGAGCGGCCGAGGUCUGAUUAGCUUGUUGGUGGGGUAAAAGCCCACCAAGGCGACGAUCAGUAGCUGGUCUGAGGGGACGAUCAGCCACACUGGGACUGAGACACGGCCCAGACUCCUACGGGAGGCAGCAGUGGGGAAUUUUGGACAAUGGGGGCAACCCUGAUCCAGCAAUGCCGCGUGUGCGAAGAAGGCCUUCGGGUUGUAAAGCACUUUUGUCAGGGAAGAAAUCUUUCAGGCUAAUACCCUUGGAAGGAUGACGGUACCUGAAGAAUAAGCACCGGCUAACUACGUGCCAGCAGCCGCCGUAA
rnacentral:rRNA from 1 species